rnacentral:rRNA from 1 species
ACAGGGAUUGCCCUAGUAACGGCGAGUGAAGCGGCAACAGCUCAAAUUUGAAAUCUGGCUCUUUCAGAGUCCGAGUUGUAAUUUGCAGAGGGCGCUUUGGCGUUGGCAGCGGUCCAAGUUCUUUGGAACAGGACGUCACAGAGGGUGAGAAUCCCGUACGUGGUCGCUAGCCUUCGCCGUGUAAAGCCCCUUCGACGAGUCGAGUUGUUUGGGAAUGCAGCUCUAAAUGGGAGGUAAAUUUCUUCUAAAGCUAAAUACUGGCCAGAGACCGAUAGCGCACAAGUAGAGUGAUCGAAAGAUGAAAAGCACUUUGGAAAGAGAGUCAAAUAGCACGUGAAAUUGUUGAAAGGGAAGCGCUUGCAGCCAGACUUGCCUGUAGUUGCUUAUCUAGACUUUUGUCUAGUGCACUCUUCUGCGGGCAGGCCAGCAUCAGUCUAGGCGGUUGGAUAAAGGUCUCUGUCAUGUACCUCUCUUCGGGGAGGCCUUAUAGGGGAGACGACAUGCAACCAGCCUGGACUGAGGUCCGCGCAUCUGCUAGGAUGCUGGCGUAAUGGCUGUAAGCGGCCCGUCUUGAAACACGGACCAAGGAGUCUAACAUCUAUGCGAGUGUUUGGGUGUCAAGCCCAGACGCGUAAUGAAAGUGAACGGAGGUGGGAACCCUUUGGGUGCACCAUCGACCGAUCCUGAUGUCUUCGGAUGGAUUUGAGUAAGAGCAUGGCUGUUGGGACCCGAAAGAUGGUGAACUAUGCUUGAAUAGGGUGAAGCCAGAGGAAACUCUGGUGGAGGCUCGCAGCGGUUCUGACGUGCAAAUCGAUCGUCAAAUUUGGGCAUAGGGGCGAAAGACUAAUCGAACUAUCUAGUAGCUGGUUCCUGCCGAAGUUUCCCUCAGGAUAGCAGUAACGUAUUCAGUUUUAUGAGGUAAAGCGAAUGAUUAGAGGCCUGGGGGUUGAAACAACCUUCACCUAUUCUCAAACUUUAAAUAUGUAAGAAGUCCUUGUUACUUGAUUGAACGUGGACACUUGAAUGUACCGUUACUAGUGGGCCAUUUUUGGUAAGCAGAACUGGCGAUGCGGGAUGAACCGAACGCGGGGUUAAGGUGCCAGAAUAUACGCUCAUCAGACACCACAAAAGGUGUUAGUUCAUCUAGACAGCAGGACGGUGGCCAUGGAAGUCGGAAUCCGCUAAGGAGUGUGUAACAACUCACCUGCCGAAUGAACUAGCCCUGAAAAUGGAUGGCGCUCAAGCGUAUUACCCAUACCCCGCCGCCGGGGCAGAAUUUAUGCCCCGGCGAGUAGGCAGGCGUGGAGGCUCGUGACGAAGCCUUGG